rnacentral:misc_RNA from 1 species
GAUGAAGAACGUAGCUAAAUGCGAUAAGUAAUGUGAAUUGCAGAAUUCAGUGAAUCAUCGAAUCUUUGAACGCACCUUGCACCCUUUGGCAUUCUGAAGGGUAUGCUCGUUUGAGUGUCAUUGUACUCUCACACUCCCGAUCUUUGCAUUGGGAGCAGUGGACUUGGGUUUGCUGCUUCACCGUCGCUUACCUCAAAUAGGUUAGUGCAACUCUUGGUUGGACAUAGUACGGCGUGAUAAGUGUUCUUCGCCGGUGCCUCGCAAAGAGGGUGGCCGGUCGGGAUGUUUGUGCUCCAAACCGUCUUCGGACAAUCUCUGACGACUUGACCUCAAAUCGAGUAAGACUACCCGCUGAACUUAAGCAUAUCAAUAAGCGGAGGA